rnacentral:tRNA from 1 species
CUUCUGGUGUAGUGGAAUCUCUCUUGGUUUUUAUCCAAGAGGUCAUGGGUUCAAUCCCAAUGGUCAGA